GUGAGAUGCCACCUCACACCUAUCAGGAUGGCAGCGCCAAGAACCAGGAGACAGCUGCUCGUGGCUAUCUUUCCACCUGGCGGGAGCACCUGGGACGUGGUGAGGCAGCCCCCAGAUGGAAGCUCCUGCAAUCAGGACGGCCCGUGACCCGGCCCGGUGGAGGGCGGGCGGGGGGUGUCCCAGCCUGCGGCGUCAGCUCCCUCCAGCACGCGCAGGGCUCGGCCGGGCCCCGGGCCGGUGCCGGGAGGUGGGCUUCCCUCCACGUGCCCUGCAGGGAGGGCCCUGUGCGGGCCCGGAGCCGCUUCUGUGGGUCACACAGAGAGUCUGGCCUGGAGGUGAGCUCCUCAGAUGGCACGCACUCUAUGUAAUUAUUUCCCUUCAUCCUCACUGUGAGGUAGAGAUGGUCUCCGUUUCCACAGAUGAAGACUUGGAGGCUCAGAGCAACGCCCUGGCCAGUGUCACACAUCAGCCGAAAGGCCGGGACUUGAAACGACUGAUUUGACAGCUGGUGAUGUGCGGUGUGAUCGUCUUGUAGUGCUGGGCCGGGCAGCGAGUGCAGCUCCCGUCAGCCAGGUGGUCGCACAGGUGAGCAUCCGAUGCACUCACAACCCACACACAUUGUGCUUUUCACUUUCAGUACAGUAGUCAAUGAAUCACACGACGUGUUCCACACUUCACAGUAAAACAGGCUUUGUGCUACAGCUCCAGGCUAAUGUAAGUUUUCUGAGCAUGUUUAAGGUGGGCUGGGCUAAAGUAUGCUAUUCGGUAGGUUAUGUGUGAUACAUGCAUUUUUAACUUAAUGAUAUGUUUGACUUAUGAUGGAUGAGUUUAUUGCUA